GACGAACGCUGGCGGCAUGCUUAACACAUGCAAGUCGAACGGUGACGACGUAGCUUGCUCGGUUUGAUGAGGGGCAAACGGGUGAGUAACACGUAAACAUCGUGCCCUACAUUCUGGGAUAACCUCGGGAAGUCGGGGCUAAUCUCGUAUAUGAGCCCCUGUCCCAUGGCGGGUGUUGGAAAGUUUUUCGGUGCGGGAUGGGCUCGGGGGCUAUCUGGUUGGUGGUGUGGUAGUGGCUCACCCAGGCGAUGACGGGUAGCCGGCCUGAGAGGGGGACCGGGGACACUAGGACUGAGAGACGGCGCAGAGUCCUACGGGAGACAGCGGUGGGGAGUAUUGCACAAUGGGCGAAAGCGGGAUGAAGCGGCGAUGCGUGAGGGAUGACGGCCUUCGGGGUAAAAAAAGCUGUCAGCAGGGAAGAAGCGAAAGUGACGGUACCUAAAGAAGAAGCGCCGGCUAACUACGUG
rnacentral:rRNA from 1 species